AUUCCAUCAAAUGUCAAUGAAAGCUUUUGUAUUAUAUGAAAUAAAAUCUGCAGCACUUUUGUACUACUAUCAAGGAUUAGCAUUGCUACAGACACUGUCUCAUAAAUUCUCCUUUCAAUAGUUACCAAUAUUCUUUUAAUCUCUGGAUCUUCAUGCAUGAAAGUUGCUGCAUAACGUGUUUGAACUUUCCUUUCUUAAUUGCUUUUUGUAGAUUCUUCAAAGAAAUUUAUGGAGCAGGAGGGGUGCUCAGACCAUAGAUUAAAAAAAGCUUGGCAGAGUGAUUUAAGAUUGACUGUUUGUUCCUCAGAACUCCUGUUAAAAAAGCUACUAGAAAACUGGAAUGAUAAACACUGACUCUAUCAUGAAUUAUUGUUAUUUCUUUUUCAUUCUCAAUAUUCAAUAUUUAUAUUACAGCACUACCCGAAGGCAAAGAUCAGAAGUAGGUAUAAACAUAUGUGGCAUCACAGCAAAAGCAAUAGGACUGCUUGGAGGUUCAUACCUAUGCACAUAAUUCAGUGCCCCUGUGAUUUAGGAUCAGAACAUGCCCUAGAACCAUUUUUUCUCAUAUUCUUUCUUUAAAGUAUUUUUGCUUUGUUCAAAUAAAAUGAGAAAACAGUGGCCACUGCAAAAAUCUGAAUGCUUGCCUAAUAUCUUUCAGUGUUAACAAUUUAAUUUCCAAUGAUCUCUACAGUCAUGUCAUAAUAUAAUUUACCAUUAAAGGAAAAAAGGACUGCACUGCUGCCAAUCUUCAACUCCUUCCUCAAAAAAAGGAAGAGAAAACAAUUCAAACCUUUGUUAUUUGCAGGAUGGGGGAACAUUUGUCCAUGACAUUACUAUUGGUAAAUGUCAAAUACUGUUUACAGAGCUAAAAGCAUUAAGAAUGAAGAAUGGGAUCAACAUACUUUGCAGUAUAAAUUUUUAAAGGUUAAUCUUCCAUGAUUAGCUUAGAUAAACAAUGCUAAGCACAUAGGAAAUUGCUUAAUGCAAGUCACCAUAAAUUACUUCAGUCUUUUGUUCUGAGCUUCCUAAAUAUUGAUUUAUUUGAUUUCAGAGUCAUAAAGUUUGCACAUGCAUUCACAUAGUUGAAAGAUUAUACAUAGUUUUCAUAGUGCUUUUCAUCUAAACAGUACGGGAAGACAAUAGCAAAGAAAAAAGUUAAAUUUAUCUGUAAUAAUGAAUCACAAUUAUUACUAGAGUUACUUGCAAAGAAACAGACGUAUGCUUUCUUGACUCAAGUGUAAUUGCAAUCUUGUUUCAUUUUCUCAUUUUUUGUGCUAUUCUUCUUUUACCAGCGCUUCAAUCUGAAAAAUAAGACAAUACUGUAUUUCUUGCUACUCACUUAUAGCAAGGUGACAGAGGACAAAAUAAUGUCAUCUUUGUUAUGAAAGAAGCUAGAGAAAAAAAAAGAAUCUUCAUUUAACAACAAUCUAAAUUUUUACAGUGUCCUAUCACCUAAAAAAUAUCUCUGCUCAAAAGUUUAUGAGGAAGGAACAACAGAGAAAGUGUUUUGUGUUUCAGCUUGACUUCCCAGCUCUAAGAGUGUUCUCAAUAGUUAUCCUACAGGUAAGGGCAGGAUUCUUCUGUAAGAUUCACAAAUACAGUAAUUUUCCAUUUAACUACCAGUGACAGAUUAAUUUGAGUUUUGAAAUGAUAAAUACUUGCAACUCAAAAAAUUUUUCCAUUCAGUUAUGAAUGUUACUAGGAAUAGCAACAAUUAGAGCCAUAAACAAAUCUGGAAGAAUACCACAUACUAGCAAUCUCUCAAAAGUUCAAAAAUAUGACAAGCAGUUUAAUAAAAAAUAAAUAAAAAAGGUUUUUGUGGGAUUUUCUUUUAAAAUUUUAUUGUAACCCACUCUUAUCCAUACUGCUAUAAAUAUUCUGGAUUUGAAUUCCAACUAUAUUGUGCUGACAAUACAGAAAGCCUUCAGAUGGGAGCAAAUGAAAUUUAAACUUAUCAAAAUUCUCCUUUACAAUGACAAUACAGCACAGGAAGAGAUCUUAUGUGUAUAUGAGACUAUUUAGAGUGACAGCACAUAAGGAAGCCAAAAUGUACAUAAUAGACUAUUAAUUCCUUUCCUCUUUUGAUAUACUAUGAACUUGAAAAACAAAAGAGAAGAUUGGGUUUGACAACUAGCUGCUUAAAACAAACAAUUUCAUUUAAAUCUAAAGUCUCAAACAUUCCUUAUGAAAAACACUUGCAUAACUAUGACCUUAAAAAUUAUAUGGGGUUUAGAUUGUUAAGCAAAGUUAUAGAUAUUAUGUAUUAAGUCCUUGUAUAUCAAAUUGAGAAGGAAAGAGAUAAUGAUUUCUUUUGUAACGAGAGUAUGUUAAUUGAUGCUGAUAUUUUUCAAUAUCAAAUGACUUAACAGACCCUUCAAAUCAUUGGCAGCUAUACUUCUUAAAAAAAACAGGUGCCAAAUUUUCUGUACUACAUUUUAGUUUCUGGAUGUUAACCAACAAUGGUUCAGGUUUCAAAAAUUUUGCUUAUUCACCGUAACAGAAAAAGAGGAAUUCACACUUUAUUGAAAAUAAAUGUCAACGUACUUACUAAA
ensembl:lncRNA